GUGAGGAAUUUUCCGCAAUGGGCGAAAGCCUGACGGAGCAAUGCCGCGUGAAGGAUGAAGGCCUAUGGGUUGUAAACUUCUUUUCUCAGAAAAGAAUUAUGACGGUAUCUGAGGAAUAAGCAUCGGCUAACUCUGUGCCAGCAGCCGCGGUAAGACAGAGGAUGCAAGCGUUAUCCGGAAUGAUUGGGCGUAAAGCGUCUGUAGGUUGUUUAAAAAGUAUUCUGUCAAAGAUUAGGGCUUAACCCUAGAUAGGCAGAAUAAACUUUUAAGCUAGAGUUUGGUAGAGGCAGAGGGAAUUCCCGGUGGAGCGGUGAAAUGCGUAGAUAUCGGGAGGAACUCCAAAGGCGAAGGCACUCUGCUGGGCCAAUACUAACACUGAGAGACGAAAGCGAGGGGAGCAAAUGGGAUUAGAAACCCCUGUAGUCC
rnacentral:rRNA from 1 species